GGUUGAUUAGUUUAAGUAAAAUAGAGAUUUUGUAAGUCUAAGAUCUAAAAAAGUA
rnacentral:tRNA from 1 species